CUGAUGCAGCAUAAGCCUUCAGCCGUCAGAGCGUGAGCAUUUAAUUUAAAUACAAAUUUUACAGUAAGCUUCCUCGCCAAUACGUAGAGAUCUUAAUGUCCAACAUUUUCAACGCUCUCUUAUUAGAGAGAUAAAUAGAACGAGGGAAAACUUAUUCAAAAUUGAGAGAAAUUCAAGGUACCACAAGGUAGUGCCCUUGAAUCUGUCUUGUAUGUGCUCUACACCAGUGACAUUCCAAUCUGAAUAACUUUUUGCUGAUGGCACGGCCUCGCACCGGCGACGCGUCUACCUUAUCAGCUGUCGAUGGUAGGUUCUGCUCUUACCAUGGUUGUAACGGGUAACGGGCAAUCAGGGUUCGGUUCCGGAGAGUGAGCCUGAGAAACGGCUACCACAUCCAAGGAAGGCAGAAGGCGCGGAAAUUACCCACUCCCGGCACGGGGAGGUAGUGACGAAAAAUAACGAUAUAACGAGGAUCAAUUGGAGGGCAAGUCUGGUGCCAGCAGCCGCGGUAAUUCCAGCUCCAA
rnacentral:ncRNA from 1 species